rnacentral:lncRNA from 1 species
AAACUUCAAAACCCUCCUGUGGUUUCGUAGUUUCUCACUUUGCCCCCCUGUGGUUUAAAAAUGUAUCAAUUUGCGCCCCUGUGGUUUCUUUUUUCUCUUUUUCUUAUCAAUUUCAUUAUUUUUUUCUUAAAUCAGUGAUAAAGUUAAAAUUAAAGGGUACUAAAGUAAAUAUUUGAUAAAUCUAGAUGGGUAUCUGAAGUUUUUUGUAUAUAAUUUAAUGAAAUAUUAACGAAAAAGCUACCGAAAAGAUAAAAACGAAACCACAUGGGUACAAUUUGAUACAUUUUAAACCACAGGGGGACAAAGUGAGAAAUUACGAAACCACAAGGGGGGUUUUUAAAGUUUUUCCUAAAUUUUUAUCGAAACUUCAGUUUAAUUAAAAGUUAUUUUCAUCCCAAAUUCAAUAACUAAUACCCACAAAAUAUAUAUAUAAUUUUGUUUUAAUCUUACUCAUAGGGCUCUAGCCCUUGUAUUUUUAGUUGUAAACAAUUUAAUAAAAAUUUUAUUACUGUAAUUUUUCUUCACCGUCUUAUAUAUAUAUACUAGUUUAUAUAUAAAUUUUUCAUAAAAAUAAUUAAAAUAAUAAGAGUAUUAUUGAUUUUCUAUUAAAUAAAUGGUAGUAAAAUAAAUAAUUUU